GGCCUCUCCAUGGGGCAGCUCGUGAAAUGACAGUUUGCUUCCCUUAACUCAGGGCUCAAAAAUUUUAUUUUCCCUGCUCAUUCCUGUACUUACCAUCUUGUCCUUGAAAGAUGAGGCUGGGCUGUGGAAACCGUCCAACAAGGGGAUGUAGACCUGACUGACAGUUCAUACCCUAAGCUUGUGCUGUGUUCUCAAACGAGUACAAAGGUGUGCUUUUUAAAAUGAACACAUAAUUGAGGGUGGGGAGAAGCCUCUCAGAGCAACCCCAUUGUUUGGACACGUUCCAGUAUUCCGACCCCCAGAUCAUCUGUGGACAUGAGUUUCCUCUCUUCACAACAAGCCCAUCUCCUCUCCAGCAUGUCCUUGAAAGCUCUGUGCCCUACACUUGCCCUGCUGAACGUCACAUUUCAUCACUGCCUAUUGGGUCUCCCUACCCACCUACCAUGCAUGCGUGUGACCUCGGCGUGAAUGGAAACCCAAGGGACAGAGCCUUGCUCUCUCACGGCUGUUUUUAGGCCUGCCAGGACCUUGGUUGGGCUUCUCAUUUCCUGAAUGAAUGAAAAGGAUUACUCCAUGUGUUACACCAAUCACACCAAAC
rnacentral:lncRNA from 1 species